rnacentral:RNase_P_RNA from 1 species
CAGGGGGCUGAGGCAGCCGCGCAGCUUUGGCUGCGAGGAAAGUCCGGGCUCCACGAAACAUGGGUGGCGGGUAACGCCCGCCGGGCAAGGGCCUUCGGGCCUGCGUUCAGGGAAAGUGCCACAGAGAGUAUACCGCCGAUGGACCCAGAAGGUCACAGGCAAGGGUGAAAGGGUGCGGCAAGAGCGCACCGGGGUUCUGGCAACAGCGCCCGCAUGGCAAACCCCACCCGGAGCAAGGCCAAAUAGGGGCCUCGUGCGUCCUUCGGGAAGCAGGCGUGUUUCGCGCCGAGAGGUCCGGGUUGGCUGCUAGAGCGGCUUGGCAACAAGUCGCCCAGAUGAAUGGCUGCCACCGCAGCGCUGGUGCCUUGAGCAUACCGGUUGCGGGACAGAACCCGGCUUAUGAGGCCCCCUGAUAC